rnacentral:rRNA from 1 species
UACGUAGGGGGCAAGCGUUGUCCGGAUUUAUUGGGCGUAAAGAGCGUGUAGGCGGCCAGGUAGGUCAGCUGUGAAAACUCGAGGCUCAACCUCGAGCUGUCGGCUGAAACCAUCUGGCUAGAGUCCGGAAGAGGAGAAUGGAAUUCCCGGUGUAGCGGUGAAAUGCGCAGAUAUCGGGAAGAACACCCGUGGCGAAGGCGACUACCUGGCCUGUUCUUGACGCUGAGGCGCGAAAGCUAGGGGAGCAAACGGG